CAAAAAGUAGCUUAACUAAAGCAUCUCGUUUACACCGAGAAAAUGCCCGUGAAACUCGGACCAUUUUGA
rnacentral:tRNA from 1 species